AUUGAACGCUGGCGGCAUGCCUUACACAUGCAAGUCGAACGGCAGCACGGGAGCAAUCCUGGUGGCGAGUGGCGAACGGGUGAGUAAUAUAUCGGAACGUGCCCGGUCGUGGGGAUAACGUAGCGAAAGCUACGCUAAUACCGCAUACGAUCUACGGAUGAAAGCGGGGGAUCGCAAGACCUCGCGCGAUUGGAGCGGCCGAUAUCAGAUUAGGUAGUUGGUGAGGUAAAGGCUCACCAAGCCGACGAUCUGUAGCUGGUCUGAGAGGACGACCAGCCACACUGGGACUGAGACACGGCCCAGACUCCUACGGAGGCAGCAGUGGGAAUUUUGGACAAUGGGCGCAAGCCUGAUCCAGCAAUGCCGCGUGCAGGAUGAAGG
rnacentral:rRNA from 1 species